CACCAAUCAAGCCUGGCUUGGUAUUGGGAUCCCGGGGUGACCGGGUCCUCAAAGUCGUCGGCUGGAAAGCUCUGAUCUCAGCGUCGUGGUUAAUCAAUUCGCGAAGUGAAGAGCGGUCUGCUGCCGUUAAACCUCAAUCAAA
rnacentral:misc_RNA from 1 species